UUACCAGCAGAUUUAUAAGAAGGAGGAUAAACUGAAGAAACCUCUUUCAAGAGCCUCACAGAUUUCUUUGAAAAAUAAAAAUGCUGGUGCAUUAAAGAAGAAAGGGAAACAAGCCAAAGAAUCUCCUGAAGAUAUGAUGCCGACAGCCUUGGAGUUUGAUUUUACUAUAAGACUGUAUGACUGGACAUCAACUGAAGACUGUAUGGGAGAUACAUCUGAAUAAAAUAUAAUACCAAGAUUAACACUCUA
rnacentral:lncRNA from 1 species